rnacentral:misc_RNA from 1 species
AACGCACAUUGCGCCUUCUGGCAAUCCAGGAGGCAUGCCUGUCCGAGCGUCAUUGCAACCCCUCAAGCACGGCUUGCGUGUUGGGCUUCACGUCCCCCGUGGACGGGCCCGAAAGGCAGUGGCGGCGUCGUGGUCCGGUGCCCGAGCGUAUGGGUCUUCGUUAUCCGCUCUGGGGCCCGGUCCGGCGCCCGCCGUCGACUUCGAUCUGUUCUCGUGGUUGACCUCGGAUCAGGUAGGGAUACCCGCUGAACUUAA